GACGAACGCUGGCGGCGUGCUUAACACAUGCAAGUCGAACGGAAAGGCCCUGCUUUUGUGGGGUGCUCGAGUGGCGAACGGGUGAGUAACACGUGAGUAACCUGCCCUUGACUUUGGGAUAACUUCAGGAAACUGGGGCUAAUACCGGAUAGGAGCUCCUGCUGCAUGGUGGGGGUUGGAAAGUUUCGGCGGUUGGGGAUGGACUCGCGGCUUAUCAGCUUGUUGGUGGGGUAGUGGCUUACCAAGGCUUUGACGGGUAGCCGGCCUGAGAGGGUGACCGGCAACAUUGGGACUGAGAUACGGCCCAGACUCCUACGGGAGGCAGCAGUGGGGAAUAUUGCACAAUGGGCGGAAGCCAGAUGCAGCAACGCCGCGUGCGGGAUGACGGCCUUCGGGUUGUAAACCGCUUUCGCCUGUGACGAAGCGUGAGUGACGGUAAUGGGUAAAGAAGCACCGGCUAACUACGUG
rnacentral:rRNA from 1 species